rnacentral:rRNA from 1 species
AACUUUAUUUUUGUUGAAAGUGCAGUUUUUAAGUCUUGUUAUUGAAAUUAUUUUUGGUUAAAUUGAAAUUUUUUUUGUUGUUUUUGCUGUGUUUUUUAAAUUUUGUUUAACGAAUUAGAUUAGUACCUAAUUAGUCAAAGAUUAUAAGUUUCAGGAGUAAAGUGUUGUUUAAACUGAAAGAAUAUUGGCAGAUUUUCUAAAUUAUCUUUGGAGGUUGAGUGAUAAUUGAGAACCCUCAUUGACUAUUUUUUUUUUUGGCUCAUGUAUGAUCGUUUAUUUUAUGUUUAAGAUGUAAGAGUUUAGUUUUUUGCUGUUAAAAUAGAUAUAUAUUUGGUUUAUAAAUUUAGUUUUAUUUGACCUACAAUAUUUUGUUAUUGUGGAUUAAUAAGUUAGUGUUAUUAUGAAAAUGUAAAAGACAGUAAAUAAAAUUUUAUGUUUUUUUGAAGAUUACUUAGAAAUGGUAC